GUUCAGCGCAGCUGGUGAGCCCUGCAAAACGAAAGUUAACGUUACCGACCGGGUGGUACUUUAGCUGCUUUUUUAUUCGCUCCAAUAUUAAGCUUUACAGCCCAUAUCAUCAUGGCACACUAUAGGGCUUCUGACUCCAAGAGAGAACAUUUCAGAAGAUAUUUAGAGAAAACCGGAGUCGUUGACAGCCUCACCAGCGUUUUUGUCUCUCUGUAUGAGCAACAAGAGAAGCCGGCCAAUGCUCUGGAAUUUGUGAAGCAGCACCUUGGUGCCGUUGAUCUGACCUCAGCAGACACUGAAGCUCUGAAGCAGGAAGUGAGCAACCUGAGAGAGAAAUGUUCACGUCUGGAGGAGGAAAAUAAAGACCUUAAAGCAAGGCUGCAGCAAUAUGAACCGGCUUCUGAAGGUGGAGGCACUGCCAACUAGAUCUCAAGAACAAACCCGUCUUUGUUUGGAUGAACGUAUUAUUUGUUAAUGCUGCUGUCAAUUUAAAUUUACAGAUAGGAUAACGCUGUAGAAGGUGAAAGCUGACUGUUUUAUGUGGCUGUGAUAUUUAUCUGUAAAUCUCACUUUGUUUCUUACAAUCUAUAUUUAUUCUGUACAUGUGUGUACAUAUCGUUUGACUUUACAUCCUUUAAGUUUGUUCCAAGACUGGUGGACAAUUUGUUUUUCUUAUAAAAAUGGGAACACACAUUGUGUUCAAAGUGCGUUGGGAUGAGGCAACACCAUUUUUUGGAACCGUUUUAAGUACACAGUGGUAUGAAAAAGGUUUGAGAGAUUCAAAUAAAAGUUUAUUUCAUUCUUGUA